rnacentral:lncRNA from 1 species
UUGCCUAUCAUCCGUCCGAUCACCAUCGCGUCCCCAUCAAAACACAUGUCCAAGGAUCCACCGUACACGUACCCCUUCUUCAAUUUUGGCCCUGCUAGCUUCACAAUCUCCUCCUUCACUUUACUGUAGGCUUCGUCCACCAAGAAGGUGAACCACGUACCCGAAUCGAUCAAGGUCUGACCUGCUCCACUCGGAUCUGCUCGGAACGCUGACGUGGAAAUAUUGAGCUUUUUCCCAUUGAUUCGGAUCCCUAGCAUUGGAAGAGUGUAGGCCAGAGGGUCGAGAUUGGGCAUGCGUUGACUCUGACGGUAAGUCAUGAGAUUCACGUACUUAAACCCGGCUGAACUCGGGUUCGGACCCAGGUAAAAGGACCCGGUCGGAGAUGACCCGGAUUGGCUCCGGCGAGGUGGGACACAAUAGGAGAAUUUGGAGAUCUUAGCGAGAGAGGAGAAGGACAACCGGCCAAGGUUCAUUCCCAAAAUGCCCUGGGUGUCGCUGGAGUCCGUGGCGCAGCCGAGGAUCAAAGGAGGAGUAGUUUGGGAGCUGGAGAAUGUGAAUUUUUCUCUGACGAGAUUGCCCUCGGCGUAGGUGCCGUCAGCGUAGAAGUAAGAGUAAUGGCAGAGGCGAUUCUGGUCGCAGGAGGUGGGGAGGGUAUAAUCGGGAACUCGUGGUUUACAGAGAGAGUGGUUGCAGGGCAGAACAGAGAAGGAAGAAGAGAGCAAAGGGUCAAAAGCGGUGGGAGGAGUCUUGGGAGGAACUUUGCACUGGAUCCAAGACAAUUGGCUGCCGGUGUCCAACACCAUCUGUUGGGUCUGGGGCGGAGUCCCAAUAGGCAGAGAAACGAUCAAAGCCAUAGAAUACUUGAAAGAAGAUCUGUAGUUAUAGGACGUGGUUUUGGUAUUUGGGUUUUGCUUGAACUGCGAGGCGAGAGAAGAGGAGAAAAGGGAGUUUUUAGAAUGAGAAGAGAGAGGGAUAGAAGUAAGAGAGAAGGAGAGAGAAUGGUUUGAGGGCUUUGGAUAUGAGAGGGAAACGAGAGAGGCGAAGAGGAAGAAGAGAAGGAGAGGGGUGGAGGGAGCCAUAGCUGCAGCUGGAUGCCCGUAUGUGAUGUCAGUGUGGGAUUUUCUGUUUGCGUUUGGAGUUUGUAUUUAUAGUUGGAAGGAGCACAGCAAAAGUCCAAAAAAGCAAACCGCGUAUUUUUAAUUCAGUGGUUAUAUUUUCUAAUCAAACUUACUUAAUCCGCUAACUCUCCUUUAUUUUUUUUUUCUUUUUUUCUCUCUACUCGGUGGGCCUCCUGCCGUCUAACUUCUUGCAAGUUACAAACUUACAACUCAAAAGGCCAUGCACCUUUUACCUCUUUGGUAUCUGAAAAUUGUCAUUAUCAAACUUGUGUUACUAGAAUUUGAAUUUUCCCAAGGCAUUUCACAACAGAAAAUAAGACAAGAUAUUUCAUUCUUCUACUAUGCUAUCCGAUCACUUAUUAUGCAAAUUUGUGUUAAAAGUUGAAUUCUGCAAUAAAAAUAAAUCUAAAUAUUUACUCUCAAACUUUAUAUUUCAGAAUUUUUAUGAUUAAAACUUAAUAAAAUUACAAGAAAAAUUAUUGCCCAAAUUUUACACAUUAAAAAUGUGCGUUUCAUUCAUAGAAAUUGAAGUAUAGAGAAAAUUAAAAUUGUGACAAAAUUGGAUUUUAGUUUUUUCACUAGAAAAUUCUUAAUUCAUAUUCUUCGAUCAGAUUUUGAUCAUCUUAUCUUGUUCUUUAACCAUCCCAUUUAAAAAUAUUUAUAGUAUUCAACCACCUUCAUUUGAGAGAUUCAUCUGUCUAAUAUACUAAUAAUAUUGUUAUAAAUCAAUGUCCUUCUAAAAUGAAGUUAACUUUUCGAUCAGACUUUCUGUCAUUUUAUCUAAAAACUAAUUAACAUCUGAUGGAGAUAAAUCAACCUUCUUAUAACAUGUUAUCAUAAUUAUUUAAGUGAUUUAUUCCCUAAAUUAAGAUGAACAAUAAUAAUCUCCCUCCCAACAUGAGGGUCCGAUGGCUCAAAUCAUGACCCUUAGUUUUAAUAUCAAUUUUUGGAUUGAACUUUAACUAUUCUAUUUUAAAAUCCAUUGAUGCCCAAUAAGAGUAGAUCAAGCCUUUAAAGAAAUUUGAUUCUCAUCAUUUGAGUGGUCAAUCCUCACUUGAAAAACAAUAUUGUUGCACCCCAAUACAUAUUCUCAUUUAUUAACAAAUUCAAAUAUAUUAAUAAUUUAAAAAGGAAAAUGGAUUUCCUCUCAUUAAUCCAUAUUUAAAUGUUUCAAACAAUGUCAUUAAGUCACAAAUUUUGGAGCAAAACAAAAAAUAAAUAGCCAAGAAAAAAAUUCAGAAAGAUAAAAUACCCAAAAGGUUGUCAUAAGAUGCAAAACAUCAUUAAAUAUUAAAACAUAUGAUCUUCAUGGGUUAUGCUCAUUCAAUUCAUAAGCAUAUCCCUUUAUUUAAAUAAAGAAGAGCCCAAAGUGACAACACUUGGUCGGAGGUGUUUGAAUUCCAACAAUUCUUUGCCCAAAGUUCGUUGGAUAUAUAUAAAAAUGAGCUUUUUGUUUAUUUAUUGAUGAAGUGUUCAUCAUCAUAGCAUCAAAUUAUUUAAAAGAAGAAAUACCCAAUAAUUCUUGUGUGCAUUUAUUUUGCAAUAUGAUUAGCAUAGAAUAAUAAUAUUCAUAGUGAAAUAUUCCCUUCAUAUUAUCUUUGUAGAACAAAUUGACUUAGUGGGUCCUUAGACCUUACGUGGUUCAUACGCACAAAGACUUGCUUUUCUCAAUACAGAUGCCCCCCACUUUAGAGUCUCCAUUGCAACGUAGCCACUAAAAAUGCUAUAACUUAAAGGUGAUGUAUUUUCAUUUUUAUUAUUAAUAAUAAUAAUUACAAAAAUAAUUAUUACUAUUAAAUUUAGUCAUAGUUAUUAGUGACUAAUAAAUUUGGUAGAUCUAACAAAGUUGUUUUUUUUGCAAAUAUAAAUUGUUAUUUCAUUUAAAUUAUCCAAAUUUAUAACCAAAGUGUUUUUAUGUAUUGUGUUAAGAUUUUCAGAGUCUAAUUAUUAUCGUAAUACUAAUGAUAUUUUAAGUUAUGAUAUUUUGGGGAUUUUACAUAUGUAAUUUGGUUAUUUUAUUUAUAUUAUAUUUAUGAUAACCAAUUUUUAACUUUUAUAGAGAGGUCUUUAGGUAUCGAAAGAGAUAAAAAAAUGCAAACAGAAAAAUCUAGACAAUGAGACAUUUUUGAAAUUCUCUUGUAGUCUCUUUUCAUCGUAGUAAAAAUCUACGGUAAGUAUAAGUGGAUGUAUCUCUCACAUUGAGAGUAAAUCAUUAUAAAUCUAGUAUGUUUUUGCACUUUAUUUUUUCUAUUGGUUUAUUUUCACUUUCAGAAAAUAGGAUUAUGGUGUUUUAAUCCUAACAACAUAUGCCGAGGAGAUUUAAAAACUAUUUAUUUCUUAUAUUAGAUAGUACGAAAGAUAGAUUAAUAAAAAAUAAUAAAAUGUUGUAAAUUUCCAAAAUUUUGAAUAAUUAUAUAUAUAGUUAAUUAAGAUAGCUUAGACUAGGUGGGUGUAAAUAAUAGUAAGGGUAUCGUGAAUGGGGUGAAGAUGAUUUGUCGGAAAGAUGGAGGUAAAGAUCAUAAAUCAAGAUUUGUCGGAAAGUUGGAGCAACCAACGUAAGCAAUGGAUAAGUGGGGGAUGGGGAUUGCACUGAAGGAUUGACUUCAGUGCAGCAAGGAGCUGGAUGAAGAUAAGAGAAGAAUAUCAUAUUCACACUCAUAGUAGUGUAUGCGUGUAGAGUAGAAAGAAGGAAUAGAGUCAGCAACUGGCAAAAGGCGUCAAACCCCGACAUUACGCCUCCAAUGGGAUGCACACGCUUGUUCCACAGGGGCGGAGCCACAUUGCCUCUAAGUCCAUCCAUGCGUUAAGUGGACAAAGACCCAUUGGUUCGAUCUUGGAUUGGUUUGAUGUCUUUCAAGACUUUCUAAGAAAAACAUUUAACAUUGUAUAUAUAUUUUUUACUUAAUUUUUUAUUUCAUAAUUUUUUUUCGAAGCUUAAAGGCUAUGUUUGAUUUCCUAAAAAUGUAAGGAAAAAUGCAAGAGAAAAAAAAUAAAAAAAGAGGAAAAAUAACAAUGUAUUUAAUAUUAAUAAAUUAUUUUUAUAUGCUACUUCAAACUAAUUUUACUUAUUUUCACUUUCUAAUAUAAAGAUUAAAUUAUUUGAAAAUACAUAAAUUUUUAAUUAAUGUUAUUUAUAUAUAUAUAUUUUUAUUAUUUUCUAUAAAAUAACUAAACAUGAGAAAAUUAUUUUUUUUUUAAUAUUUUUUUUCUUUUCUUAAUAUUUUUCAGGAAUCAAACAUAACCAAAAGGAAAAAAAAUAGACCACAUAACUAAUUUUAUUUUGUCUUCAAUGUUGCUAAAAACCUUAAUCAUUUUUUCAAAGUUUCAAUCAAAGAAGACUCGAGUACUGAAAAUGAAGAUAUUGGAAAUUGAUGAAGAGGGAUUAGACAUGCAAACGGAAGUCUAUGUUGAUAUGAAUUGGGAUACCGAAAUUUGAGGUUCACAACAAAACACUUAGCCCAUGCCACAAAAAUACAAAUGGGGUUCAAGUAGUUGACCCAACGUUUGAUAUCUAAAGCUCAUGGCCACAAUCAUAGCUAAAACAUCUUAUUCCCAACAACUCAUCCCCACUUGGUUUGCCCAAAUUAACAUCAAGCCAACCAUUCAAAUUAUUUUCAUUUUUCUACUUAUUGUCCCAUGGUUAGAAUUUCUUUUUUUUGACCAAGAAAUUGUCACCAAAUGCUUUAAUGUUGCAAUUAAAAUCACAGUCCCUCUUUGUUAUUAAAAGGAAAAGAUAUCGUAUUCAAUUAUCAUAUGGCGGAAAAGAUGGUAGAAAUGGCAAAUAUGGAAAAGACUUUCCCCUUUUGCUUGAACUACCAACUGCCCAAUUUAUACUCAAAACCAGCCAGCAAUUAAAAUAUCUUCUCUCAAUUGCUCAUUUGCUUUAUUAGCCCUUUUUCUUUUCUUUUUCUUCCUUCUCUUAGGACACCUUCUAAUAUUGAACAACCGACAGCCAAAGGAUAAAAAUGAUGAUAUAAACUUUCUAGAUUGACAAGCAAUUGUUUGUUUGUAAUUAAUUUUUUUUCUCCAUAAAUAAUAUAAAUAUAAUAAAAAUGAAAAAAAAAAUUAUUUAUAGAUUUUGGCUUUUUUUUUUUUUGAACGGAAAAGGAAUACAUGACGAGCUUAUGUAUGUAGUAUAAAAAAGUAACCCUUAAUAAAAAAAAUUAUCUAACUCUUAAAAAUGUCCCAAUUACUUGUGGGUUUGAUUUUUAUCUUAGCAAAUUUUUAAAGAUAAUUUUGUGAAAUUUUUUACUUUUAUCUUAAUGAAAAAAGUCAUUUUUUUUAAACUUUAAUUUUAUUAUAAUACUUAAAUCUAAUUUUUCACAUUGAAAAUUUUGAAUAAUUCUUGUUUGAAAACCAAAAUAAACUACCUCAAUUUUUUGCAAUUGAAUAAGAAAUGAAUCUAUUAAUACUCUACAAAGUUGUUAUCGAAACAAAACCAAGUAUAGGUUUUGCUUUUGUCCAAUUUUUUAAGCAUAAUAGGCAUUUGAUAAGUUAGGUAUUGUUUGAUAACUAUUUUUAAAAUUUUUAAUUAUUUAUAAUUAAAAAAUAUUGAAAUGUGCUUGAUAAUAAAAAAAAAAAUAGAAAAUAAUUUUAUAUUCUUUAAAAAAAAAAAAAAACAGUUUUCAUGUUUUUGAAAACAUAAAACAAGUUAAGAACAUUUCAAGUUUCAAAACAAACUUUUAUUCUACAAAAAUAUCAAACAAUUAUUAUUAAAAAUUGUUCUUAAAAACUAAUUUUUAAAACUAUUUUCCAAAACACUUCUCAAACUAUUAUAUAUAUAUAUAUAUAUUUUUUUUUUGGAUAUUUAGGGUUUGUUUGGAAUUGACUUUUAAAAUAAUUUUUUGUUCUUUGAAACAAAAAACAUAGAAAACACGUUUAGAAACCAAAAACUUUUUUUGUUUUCUAAAAAUAUUUAUUACUUGUUUUUUUUAAUGUUUUUAUUUGUUUUCUAAAAACAGCUUUAAGAAAUAAUUAUACAAAUAUGUAAAAUGAUUAAAAAUAAAAAACUAGAUAUAAAAAUUAUUUUUAAAAAUAUAAAAAAUGAGUUAAAGUUAUUUUAAGUUUUCAAACAAACUUUGACUCUAUUUAAUAACUGUUUUCGAAAAUAAUUAUGAAAAAUAGUUUUUAGAAACAGUUUUUAAAAGUUGUUCUUUGAUUUUUGUAAAACAAAAGUCUAUUUAAAAACUUAAAAUGCUUUUAACUUAUUUUUAAAUAUAAUUUAAAAAUAAUUUUUAUAUCUAAUAUUUUAUUUUUAAUUAUUCUAUAUUUUUAUAUAAUUAUUUAUUAAAAUAGUCCUAGACAAACAAAUGAAAAUAAUAAAAAAUAAUUAAAAAAAUAUUAUAUAAAAACACCAUAUUUUAUAUUCUUAAAUAAUCAAAAAUAGAAAACAGUUUUUAAUUAUCAAACAUGUUUUUUAUAUUUUUUGUUUUGAAGAACAUAAAACUUAUGUAAAAAAUUGUUCUCAAAUAAACCCUUUUAUUCUACCAAAAUUAGAGAACAAUUUAAAAAAACCGCUUUCAAAAACUAUUUUUAAAAAUAAUUACCGAACGGAACCUUAAUUAUCCAAAAUCUUGAAGGGGCAACAUCUUUAGGAAUAAAGGAAAGGAAGAUCCUGGAUAAAAAGGUAAAGAAAUAGACAGAUAAUAAUGAAGUGACGUUGGGAUAGUGAAAUAUUCACGGAUCAUGGAGGAGCGCCCAUCACGGGCAGUCCAAUAUAAAGUGUAAAAAACGAAGGAGAGAGUGUUACACUCUGACACAAACAGGAAGUGAGAUACAUCCAACACUUGGAUAUUUGUCUUCGUGAGAACAUAAUGGAUUGUUGUUGACUUGCUUCCUUUGAGAUCCCUUUCUACGACGGCAUUGUUUUGCCAUAUCUAUGUUCACGUUCACGUCAUCACGUGAGUGAGAUAGCACUAAGGCCUUCCUUUCUUUUUCCGCGUAAACAUAUCUCAACUGUCCCUCCUCCGGAUUGAUUGCCAAGUUUUUUUUGCUUCAUGCACCCGCCCUUUAUUGCCGGCUACAUUUGAUUGAUUCAUAGAAAUUUCAAUUUUUUAUUUAGGUAGAAAGUGGUUAAAAUUUGGAGAAAAAAAUAUUUGUAACCCCUACUUUAGCUUGUUUGAUGGUUUUUCUCAUGGGUAAAAAGUGGAAUGUACCCUUUAAUUUUUUUCGCUUCUAGAAGGGAUUAUCAAAUUAUUUAUAGGAAUACUCAAACAUCACAUCUCAUGUUAUAACCCAUUCGAGAUUUUAUAUUAAUAGCUCAAAAAUAAUAAGAUCAUGGUAUAACCCAAAAUCAAGAUCAUGUUUAAUUAUCAAAGAAAAUAAAUUUGAAGCAUACUUGGAUCCAUUAUAACAGUGUAGACCCCCAUUUAGGCAUGAGUCACUUUUUCUCUAUUUGUUUUUGCAGAUCACAUUUUUAGCCAGGUGUCACUAUCCCAACGGGCCACGUGUCACAUCCUUAGUGGCCAUAAGAAAUCCACCUCGCUUUUUGAAGCUAUAGUAGGACUUUGACACGUGGAGGAACUUUCUGGAAGGGGGUCCCGCAGGCCGUCAAGGGGUGCGGAUGAGAGAGAAGGAAAGGUGGUUGCAGAAG